UGUUUUUUUAACAGCUAACACUUUCAGGUUCCAACAAGGUUUCUCGCUGAUCAUCUUCUAAGAGAUUGCUGUAUCAGCUAAAGAUAAAAGGCAUCUAAAGUCUGUCAGGGGCUGAGGGACAUGUACGCAGAGCUGGAAGGGGCAAAUGGCUUCACACAGUGACAGAGGCAGACACCAAAGAUGCUCCCCAGCGUGGCACUCACAGCGCCUGGCACAGGAGAGGUGCACGCAAAGACGAUCGUUGCUGGUUAUUCAGAGGUUAAGAUGCUUUAGAGAAAUCAGUCAGAAAAAGACUUCCCAAAACCCUAAGAAGCCAACCCAGUUCUACCCCAGCUGGGUGCCACUGCCCAGUAGUGUAUUCUCCUUCCUCUGCUCACCUGGUGACAUGAAGUAUUU